UUGCUCCUCUGACGUUAGCGGCGGACGGGUGAGUAACACGUGGAUAACCUACCUAUAAGACUGGGAUAACUUCGGGAAACCGGAGCUAAUACCGGAUAAUAUAUUGAACCGCAUGGUUCAAUAGUGAAAGACGGUUUUGCUGUCACUUAUAGAUGGAUCCGCGCCGCAUUAGCUAGUUGGUAAGGUAACGGCUUACCAAGGCAACGAUGCGUAGCCGACCUGAGAGGGUGAUCGGCCACACUGGAACUGAGACACGGUCCAGACUCCUACGGGAGGCAGCAGUAGGGAAUCUUCCGCAAUGGGCGAAAGCCUGACGGAGCAACGCCGCGUGAGUGAUGAAGGUCUUCGGAUCGUAAAACUCUGUUAUUAGGGAAGAACAAAUGUGUAAGUAACUAUGCACGUCUUGACGGUACCUAAUCAGAAAGCCACGGCUAACUACGUGCCAGCAGCCGCGGUAAUACGUAGGUGGCAAGCGUUAUCCGGAAUUAUUGGGCGUAAAGCGCGCGUAGGCGGUUUUUUAAGUCUGAUGUGAAAGCCCACGGCUCAACCGUGGAGGGUCAUUGGAAACUGGAAAACUUGAGUGCAGAAGAGGAAAGUGGAAUUCCAUGUGUAGCGGUGAAAUGCGCAGAGAUAUGGAGGAACACCAGUGGCGAAGGCGACUUUCUGGUCUGUAACUGACGCUGAUGUGCGAAAGCGUGGGGAUCAAACAGGAUUAGAUACCCUGGUAGUCCACGCCGUAAACGAUGAGUGCUAAGUGUUAGGGGGUUUCCGCCCCUUAGUGCUGCAGCUAACGCAUUAAGCACUCCGCCUGGGGAGUACGACCGCA
rnacentral:rRNA from 1 species